rnacentral:rRNA from 1 species
UAGGGAAUCUUCGGCAAUGGGGGCAACCCUGACCGAGCAACGCCGCGUGAGUGAAGAAGGUUUUCGGAUCGUAAAGCUCUGUUGUAAGUCAAGAACGGGUGUGAGAGUGGAAAGUUCACACUGUGACGGUAGCUUACCAGAAAGGGACGGCUAACUACGUGCCAGCAGCCGCGGUAAUACGUAGGUCCCGAGCGUUGUCCGGAUUUAUUGGGCGUAAAGCGAGCGCAGGCGGUUUGAUAAGUCUGAAGUUAAAGGCUGUGGCUCAACCAUAGUUCGCUUUGGAAACUGUCAAACUUGAGUGCAGAAGGGGAGAGUGGAAUUCCAUGUGUAGCGGUGAAAUGCGUAGAUAUAUGGAGGAACACCGGUGGCGAAAGCGGCUCUCUGGUCUGUAACUGACGCUGAGGCUCGAAAGCGUGGGGAGCGAACAGGAUUAGAUACCCUGGUAGUCCACGCCGUAAACGAUGAGUGCUAGGUGUUGGAUCCUUUCCGGGAUUCAGUGCCGCAGCUAACGCAUUAAGCACUCCGCCUGGGGGAGUACGACCGCAAGGUUGAAACUCUAAAGUGAA